CCAAUUUUCACAUUUAAAACAGCAAUAACUCAAAGACUAUUUGAAGGAUCAAAAAACUAUCUGAAUGUCUUAUAUGCGGUUUUUUGUAAGCUUUCUGAUGAUACAAGUCAUUUUUGUUGUAAUUGAAUACAAAAUUUCACAUUUUCUUGCGGUAAUACAAUUUAAUCAAUGAUCACCCAUUUUCACUGUGUUUGGCAAGUUUUUUGCUUGGGAACUUUUUGCGGUAAUCGAGGAUCCAUGGUACUAUGCAUUGAAUCACAAAAAAGCUCUUCCCCAAAGGGUCGCCACGAAGUGAAAUAAUUUUGGCCAACGGCCCACGGCCUAAAAUGCAGCUACAAUUCUUUAGAAUUAUUUCAAAAACGGUAAAAUAAUUAUCUUCUCAUAUAGCAUACCUUUUCAUGCCUUUCAACAACAAACUUUGUUUUUUUUAUGUUUUUACGUGGAAGCACUAUAGGAAGUUGUUUAUGGGAAGGAGUCGAGCAAAAAUAUUUAGUGUGAUAUUCGGAAAAUUCACAUCCUCUAAAUAUUAAAAAAAUAAAAUAAAAAAACGAAUAAACGAUCCAGUAUUUAUUAGUUAUUUAAUUACAGUGCGUCUACAGUAAGUGGGGCCACUUAGAGAACACUAACCAAUCACAUUGCAGCAGGGCCGUAGCGAGGGGGGUAUUGGGGGGGGGGGUGGUUAACCCCCCCAACUUUUGACAUAUUCGGAAAAUGGGGUGGCCAUUCGGAAAAUUACGGCGAUAAUAGUAUAUGGUUUUUGUACGGAAAUCAUGAAAUUCAGGCAAUUUUUAUGUAAUAUCUGACUUUUGUUAUGUCCGGAAAAAAUUUUUGACGCUUAAAAUGGUACACUGACCGAAAUUUUUUUGGCGACGGGGGGGAGGGGUGGGGGGGAGGUCGCCAAGAAUUUUGGAAUAUUCGGAAAUUUUCUUCGUCAUUCGGAAAUUUUUAGCCUACACCCCCCCCAACUAUAAAUGCUAGCUACGGCACUGCAUUGCAGAACAAAAAUUGAAAAAAUCAACAAACGGCGCAUUAGCCAAUCAGCAUUAGGCCAAAAACAAUUUGAACAAAUAAACGAAUGUCAAACGGUAAAAAUAGACUUGUAAAAGUAAACACUGCAGUUAAUGGAUUCCUGAAUCUUUCUUUUGAUUGGACGAGCUUUAGUUUGAUUAGAUUUUUCUUUUUGUUCUGCAAUGCGAUUGGUUAGUGUUCUCUAAAUGGCCCCACUUAAUGUAGCCGCACUGUAAUUGCGACCGAGCACCAGCGAGCGAGCUGGGAGCAUCCUAAUCUCAGAUAUGGGAGAAAAAAUUGUGUUCAACACCUUUUUCCGCUGGAAUGUGUAUUCAACACCCUUUGCGGGCUCAUUUUAUCCGUAUAUGGAACUCGUGACCAUAUAUGGCGUGCCACAUGGAAUAUUUUGCCUUCAUUCAUUCAUUCAUUCAUCC